GAUGAACGCUGGCGGCGUGCCUAAUACAUGCAAGUCGAGCGAACAGACGAGGAGCUUGCUCCUCUGACGUUAGCGGCGGACGGGUGAGUAACACGUGGAUAACCUACCUAUAAGACUGGGAUAACUUCGGGAAACCGGAGCUAAUACCGGAUAAUAUAUUGAACCGCAUGGUUCAAUAGUGAAAGACGGUUUUGCUGUCACUUAUAGAUGGAUCCGAGCCGCAUUAGCUAGUUGGUAAGGUAACGGCUUACCAAGGCAACGAUGCGUAGCCGACCUGAGAGGGUGAUCGGCCACACUGGAACUGAGACACGGGCCAGACUCCUACGGGAGGCAGCAGUAGGGAAUCUUCCGAAAUGGGCGAAAGCCUGACGGAGCAACGCCGCGUGAGUGAUGAAGGUCUUCGGAUCGUAAAACUCUGUUAUUAGGGAAGAAAAAAUGUGUAAGUAACUAGGCACGUCUUGACGGUACCUAAUCAGAAAGCCACGGCUAACUACGUGC
rnacentral:rRNA from 1 species